rnacentral:rRNA from 1 species
AUUGAACGCUGGCGGCAGGCUUAACACAUGCAAGUCGAACGUGUGGCGGACGUGUGAGCAAUGCUUGGGAAUCCAGCUUAUGGAGCGGGAUAACUACGUGAAACUGUAGCUAAUACCGCGUACCAUAGGAUGAGCCCAAGUUGGAUUAGGUAGUUGGUGAGGUAAAGGCUCACCAAGCCGACGAUCUCUAGCUGGUGUGAGAGGAUGACCAGCCACACUGGGACUGAGACACGGCCCAAACUCCUACGGGAGGCAGCAGUAGGGAAUAUUGCACAAUGGAGGCAACCUGACGGAGCAAUGCCGCGUGAGUGAAGAAGGUCUUCGGGUUGUAAAGUUCUUUCGGUAGCGAGGCGUUAACUAAAGAGAAAGCAACGGCUAACUCCGUGCCAGCAGCCGCGGUAAUAC